GACGAACGCUGGCGGCGUGCCUAAUACAUGCAAGUCGGACGCAGUUGCGAACGGGUGAGUAAUGCGCAGGUAUCUGCCUGUUAUAGGGGGAUAACAAUUGGAAACGAUAGCUAAUACCGCAUACUAGCAGAUGGACCUGCGUUGUAUUAGCUAGUAGGUUGUGUAAUGGACUACCUAGGCAACGAUACAUAGGCGACGUGGGAGGGUUAACGGGCAGACAGGGACGGUUAGACGGCCCAGACGGCUACGGGAGGCAGGAGUGGGGAAGGUGCGGGAAUGGGGGGAAUCCUGGCCGAGCAGAGGCGCGUGAGUGGAGAGGGUUUUCGGAGCGUAAAGGUUGGUUGUUAAGGAAGCGGUACGUAACCAGAAAGGGACGGCUAACUACGUGCCAGCAGCCGCGGUAAUAC
rnacentral:rRNA from 1 species